UCCAAAGCACCCCGUCAAUCAUGUCAACCCCUUCUAUCAGUGGCUCAUGUUUGCUGAAAUUUAGUAAAUUCAGGGACUGAACAUUAGGAUUCAAGUCCCCCAAAUUAGAAUCUGACAGCUUCCCUUAUUGCCAAAAUUUAGGGGGUAAAUAAGAAAACGCAAAAACAAAUGAAAAAGAUCAGCGUUUCAAUGAAGGAGGAAAAAUUACUACAGAAUUACAUAACUAAAAAUUUUCGCACACGAGGAAGAGAUUCUUAACGCUGCCUCGAGGAUAAAAGACAUCUCAAAUUCUCGAGUACCAAGAAAAACACUGUAAAAACAAAUCAGUUGGUUGAAAAUUUAAAACUGAACAAUACAAGGAGCGCUUGUUCUCUCAAUCUUAUUUUCUUAUCAUUUUCCUUUGUGCACCAAGCUUCGCGAAUGAAUAACGCCCGUGCUUCUUGCCAAUGCUAGCUAUCUGGCCUUCUCUUUACGCCACAUGACCUCAACUUCUUUCCCAAACAUUGAAAACUGGGAAUGUUUCAAGAACUGCAAUAAUAAAACUCUCAAAUUACACCUUGA